AUUGAACGCUGGCGGCAGGCCUAACACAUGCAAGUCGAACGGUAACAGGGAGAAGCUUGGUUCUUUGCUGACGCGUGUCGGGCGGGGGAGUAAUGUCUGGGAGACUGCCUGUUGGAGGGGGAUAACUACUGGAAACGGUAGCUAAUACCGCAUAACGUCGCAACACCAAAAAGCGGGACCUUCGGGCCUCUUGCCAUCGGAUGUGCCCAGAUGGGAUUAGCUAGUAGGUGGGGUAACGGCCCACCUAGGCGACGAUCCCUAGCUGGUCUGAGAGGAUGACCAGCCACACUGGAACUGAGACACGGUCCAGACUCCUACGGGAGGCAGCAGUGGGGAAUAUUGCACAAUGGGCGCAAGCCUGAUGCAGCCAUGCCGCGUGUAUGAAGAAGGCCUUCGGGUUGUAAAGUACUUUCAGCGGGGAAGAAGAGAGGAAAGUUAAUACCUUUGCGCAUUGACGUUACCCGCAGAAGAAGCACCGGCUAACUCCGUG
rnacentral:rRNA from 1 species